UACGGAGGGCGCAAGCGUUGUUCGGAAUUACUGGGCGUAAAGGGUUCGUAGGUGGCCCGCCAAGUCAGACGUGAAAUCCCUCAGCUUAACUGGGGAACUGCGUCUGAGACUGGCGGGCUCGAGGGUCGGAGAGGAACGCGGAAUUCCUGGUGUAGCGGUGAAAUGCGUAGAUAUCAGGAGGAACACCGGUGGCGAAGGCGGAUCUCUGGACCAGUUCUGACACUGAUGAGCGAAAGCCAGGGGAGCAAACAGG
rnacentral:rRNA from 1 species